ensembl:lncRNA
GCUGAGGCUGGAGAGUUGCUUGAACCGGGAAGGCGGAGGUUGUAGUGAGCGGAGAUUGCGCCAUGCACUCCAGCCUGGUGACAGAGUGAGACUCUGUCUUUUUAAAAAAAAAACAAAAAAACGUUGCUCAGCGGCUUCUCGAUCUUGACACAUUCUCCGGUGGUGAGUUGAGAGCAGCCCAGGCCUGGGGGUCCUAGGGAGCUUGACGUGGCUACUGUUCUAGACAGUACUGAGUUUGUCAUCGCCUUGCUUUCAUUAUGAUUUCUUCCUCCUUGUCACCACCUACGGUGUUUAUGGAGUUCACUGUACAUGAAGGCCCAGCGUCCAGAGGUGUAAGACAGAGCCCCUUCUAGGAGCUGCUGUCCAUCCCACUGAGAGGCAGGUCUGCCACAGAAGAGACAAACAACCACGCUGGACCUCUGGGGCCCAGGGACAUGUGAACUUCAGGUACCAGAAUGCAUGCGGGAGGAGGCCCUGGGUGCCCUGGGAACCCAAAGCAGGAGCUCCUUUCUGACCUGCCUCUCUCACCAAGCUUCCUUUGCUGAAUGCCGUGGGCAAACAGUGGUGUUGGUAUUGGAGCAGGAUCAAAGCUCAUUCCUGGCUAACCUGCAAAAAUGAGCAGGUAAACAAAUGGGAUCCAUAAAAUAGAGACUAAAAUGAAAGUUUGUCUUACUGUGAUUAGUAACUGGCCCCUUUCCAAAUUCCACCUGCUCUGCAUGGAGCUGUGGUGUCUCAUUCCAAGUGCCUUCUCACAGCAUCUGACCUCGGGCCUGGGGUAACAAUACACUGGGGUUUGCCAAGGAUAACAAUAGCAAGGCAGCUACAGGAGCACCGCAUGGGGGGUGUGAAAUCAGAACAAGCAGGACUCAUGAGUGGGGGCGAGAGCAAGUGGCUGCGAGGCAGAGGCAGAAGUGACGACUGCUGACUCACCGUGUGUCUGCCAGCUUGCUUAACCCAUCUCUGCUCCGGUUUUCCCGUGUGUGAGCCCUUUGUGGUGUGUGGUGUGUUGAUCGGCCUCUGGCAUGAAGGGUAAAAGUAAGGCCAUGUAAAAAUCACAGGUGCCCCUCACUUCAUGCAACAGCUGUGUGCCAGUCCAGUUUCUGCAACAGCCCCUCAGGCACUGAGCCUGCUCUGUGGGUUGGGAGAUGUUCGACCUCACGCUGUGCCCCUAGCUGGGUGGGUGUGGGAAGUUACACGGUGGUCCUGGCUGCAUUCUGCUUAUCACUGAAAGAAGCUGCCUUGGAAUGGGUGAUUUCUUAAGGUCUUUUCCCUCUCAAUUCUUCUGUUCAUUUUUGUACAUUAUUCUCUCUUCAUUAUUGUGCAUUUCUUGGAGCUUAGCCCCGACAGUGCCUGCCUAGGUGGUACGGACUGAGGCACAGAGAAGGAGUAAUCAUGGCAUCCAAUGUCUUAUCUCCCUGGCCCCCCUGGGCGGCCACCACAUUCCUUCCCAUUGGACAGUGAGGACUGAGGCUGCAUCACUGAAAUGCACACGUGUUACCAGGCAGGGCUGUGAGGGCCAGUUCAAUGAACAUAAAUACCCUUGUCAGGUCAGUUGUCAUGAUUCCAGAGAAUAAGGCCCAAGGAAAUGAGGAUGCUGAUACUAAAGAACAGGGGAGAGAAUACUGGGUUUGGCUGUGCCUGGUCACUAAAAGCAAACUUUACCUGCUGAGAACCUGCAAAUCAACCUCCUGUGAUGUUCAGAAGCCUCUUGAAUGUUGAUAAUAAAUGGACAUGGUGAGCUCGGCCAUGCAGGCUGGCUCAUGCCUGCAAUCCCAGCACUUUGGGAGGUCAAGGUGGGCGGGUUGCUUGAGCUCAGGAGUUCAAGACCAGCCUGGGCCACAUGGCAAAAUGCUGUCUCUGGAAAAAAUACAAAAAAAAAAAAAAA